GUUUAUGGUGCAAACAUUACACUCUUGUUCAGGAAAGGGUCCUCAAGGCAGAGAUGCCCUGAGGAAUGGUACAUUUGUGAGACGGAGCAGACUCUACGGCAAUGGAUAAAUGGACACCGAAAAACAAUCAACAGACAGGAGUGCUCCUUCCCAAUCAGACAACACUUCAGUUGUCUGGGAAAUUUGACCUUGGACCUUCAGGUUUGAAGGACAGAGCUCCGAAGGGUUGAUGAUAACAG